GACGAACGCUGGCGGCGUGCUUAACACAUGCAAGUCGAACGGAAAGGCCCUGCUUUUGUGGGGUGCUCGAGUGGCGAACGGGUGAGUAACACGUGAGUAACCUGCCCUUGACUUUGGGAUAACUUCAGGAAACUGGGGCUAAUACCGGAUAGGAGCUCCUGCUGCAUGGUGGGGGUUGGAAAGUUUCGGCGGUUGGGGAUGGACUCGCGGCUUAUCAGCUUGUUGGUGGGGUAGUGGCUUACCAAGGCUUUGACGGGUAGCCGGCCUGAGAGGGUGACCGGCCACAUUGGGACUGAGAUACGGCCCAGACUCCUACGGGAGGCAGCAGGGGGGAAUAUUGCACAAUGGGCGGAAGCCUGAUGCAGCAACGCCGCGUGCGGGAGGACGGCCUUCGGGUUGUAAACCGCUUUCGCCUGUGACGAAGCGUGAGGGACGGUAAUGGGUAAAGAAGCACCGGCUAACUACGU
rnacentral:rRNA from 1 species